rnacentral:rRNA from 1 species
UACAGAGGUCUCAAGCGUUGUUCGGAUUCAUUGGGCGUAAAGGGUGCGUAGGCUGGCGCGGUAAGUCGGGUGUGAAAUCUCGGGCUUAACUCCGAAACUGCAUUCGAUACUGCCGUGCUUGAGGACUGGAGAGGAAGUACGAGUAAUUGCGGUAGCGGUGAAAUGCGUAGAGUAUCGUAAGGAAGACGUAGUGGCGAAGGCGGGUCUCUGGACAGUUCCUGACGCUGAGGCACGAAGGCCAGGGGAGCAAACGGGAUUAGAACCUACCCAGUCAGUC